rnacentral:lncRNA from 1 species
GUAAAAUGCAAUCUUAGUGGAGCGCUGACUAUACGCCAGGCACUAUUUUAGGCACUUUGCAUGCACCUUGUGAGUGGGAGGCCCAGCAGAGCUGACUUGUGAGUUCUGGGACUUUUGGAGAGUCCCUGCGUCCGUCCGUGGGCGGGAUCUCCAAGGUGAGGCCGGUGGCCCAGGUUUGGCAAGUUUUCUGCAGCUUUAACACACUCGGCUUCUGAGCCAGAUCCUGUCAGGACACCUUCUUCAACCUGCCAAGCGGGGACCCACCCAGGAGUUCCUAUUUUUUCCUGAUUUGCUCUGAGAAGAGGCCGAAACACCGGGAGCCCAGCUUCUCCGGAGCUGCCUGCUCACGAGGCUGCACUCCCUCUGGCCUCUGCCACUCCCUCCCGGCUGGGCUGAAACUGCUCUUGUCCAAGUCACCAACAGCCUCUGCGCUGCCUGCCGAGCACAGUGGGUGCCUCGUCCUCUCCCCAUCGUCCUUCACAGUGGUCGCCUCCAUUGUAGGCCGCUCCCUGCUCAGUCAGCUCCUGGCACUGAGCCUCCUGCUUUUCCUCCCACUCUGUGCCUCCUCCACCCAACUCUAAGCAUCAGGGGCUGGUCUCGGCCCCCUUCCUCUCCAUUUGCAAUCUGCCUAGGCCUAGGCCAUCGCUUACCUUAGAUACCAUCCCCAGCACCUUGACUCCCAAAGUCUCUCUCCGGCACAGACUUCCAUUCAGCUCAAGACUCAUACCUGACUGCCUACUUGACCUCACCACUUGAAAGCCUCCAGGACCUUAAAACAGAGCCUCACUGUCCACCCGUCCCAUCAGCAGGCCCACACCACAUGACAGGCCAGCCCCACUGUGACCCACACCACAGAACACCCUUGCACUUUUCACUGCGCCC